rnacentral:rRNA from 1 species
CAGUCGCCGCGGUAACACGAAGGGCGCAAGCGUUAAUCGGAAUUAUUGGGCGUAAAGAGCUCGUAGGCGGUUUGUCGCGUCUGCCGUGAAAGUCCGGGGCUCAACCCCGGAUCUGCGGUGGGUACGGGCAGACUAGAGUGAUGUAGGGGAGACUGGAAUUCCUGGUGUAGCGGUGAAAUGCGCAGAUAUCAGGAGGAACACCGAUGGCGAAGGCAGGUCUCUGGGCAUUAACUGACGCUGAGGAGCGAAAGCAUGGGGAGCGAACAGGAUUAGAUACCCCCGUAGUCCCUGUCUCUUAUAC